rnacentral:rRNA from 1 species
AACGAACGCUGGCGGCAUGCCUAACACAUGCAAGUCGAACGAGACCUUCGGGUCUAGUGGCGCACGGGUGCGUAACGCGUGGGAACCUGCCCUUAGGUUCGGAAUAACUCCCCGAAAGGGGUGCUAAUACCGGAUAAUGUUUUCGGACCAAAGAUUUAUCGCCUUUGGAUGGGCCCGCGUUGGAUUAGCUAGUUGGUAGGGUAAAAGCCUACCAAGGCGACGAUCCAUAGCUGGUCUGAGAGGAUGAUCAGCCACACUGGGACUGAGACACGGCCCAGACUCCUACGGGAGGCAGCAGUGGGGAAUAUUGGACAAUGGGCGAAAGCCUGAUCCAGCAAUGCCGCGUGAGUGAUGAAGGCCUUAGGAUUGUAAAGCUCUUUUACCCGGGAUGAUAAUGACAGUACCGGGAGAAUAAGCUCCGGCUAACUCCGUG